GGAUAACCUACCCUUAGGACUGGGAUAACCUUGGGAAACUGAGGAUAAUACCGGAUAGGCAAUUUUUCCUGUAAUGGUUCUUUGUUUAAAUGUUUUUUCGCCUAAGGAUGGGUCUGCGGCCGAUUAGGUAGUUGGUUAGGUAAUGGCUUACCAAGCCGUUGAUCGGUACGGGUUGUGAGAGCAAGAGCCCGGAGAUGGAACCUGAGACAAGGUUCCAGGCCCUACGGGGCGCAGCAGGCGCGAAACCUCCGCAAUGUGAGAAAUCGCGACGGGGGGAUCCCAAGUGCCAUUCUUAACGGGAUGGCUUUUCAUUAGUGUAAAAAGCUUUUGGAAUAAGAGCUGGGCAAGACCGGUGCCAGCCGCCGCGGUAACACCGGCAGCUCUAGUGGUAGCAACUUUUAUUGGGCCUAAAGCGUCCGUAGCCGGUUUAAUAAGUCUCUGGUGAAAUCCUGUAGCUUAACUGUGGGAAUUGCUGGAGAUACUAUUAGACUUGAGACCGGGAGAGGUUGGAGGUACUCCCAGGGUAGAGGUGAAAUUCUGUAAUCCUGGGAGGACCGCCUGUUGCGAAGGCGUCUAACUGGAACGGUUCUGACGGUGAGGGACGAAAGUUAGGGGCGCGAACCGGAUUAGAUACCCGGGUAGUCCUAACUGUAAACGAUGCGGACUUGGUGUUGGGGUGGCUUUGAGCUGUCCCAGUGCCGAAAGGGAAGCUGUUAAGUCCGCCGCCUGGGAAGUACGGUCGCAAGACUGAAACU
rnacentral:rRNA from 1 species